UACAGAGGUCCCAAGCGUUGUUCGGAUUUACUGGGCGUAAAGGGUGCGUAGGCGGUCGGGUAAGUCUGGUGUGAAAUCUUCGAGCUUAACUCGGAAACUGCAUUGGAUACUAUUCGGCUAGAGAGUUGGAGGGGGGAUUGGAAUACUUGGUGUAGCAGUGAAAUGCGUAGAUAUCAAGUGGAACACCAGUGGCGAAGGCGAAUCCCUGGACAACUUCUGACGCUGAGGAGCGAAAGCGUGGGGAGCGAACAGG
rnacentral:rRNA from 1 species